rnacentral:rRNA from 1 species
GGUAAACGGCGGCCGUAACUAUAACGGUCCUAAGGUAGCGAAAUUCCUUGUCGGGUAAGUUCCGACCCGCACGAAAGGCGUAAUGAUUUGAGCGCUGUCUCGACAAUGCACCCGGUGAAAUUGAAAUACCAGUGAAGAUGCUGGUUACCUGCGCCAGGACGGAAAGACCCCAUGGAGCUUUACUCCAGCUUGAUACUGGGAUUCGGUAAUGCAUGCACAGGAUAGGUGGGAGACUAAGAAGUAUGGGCUUUGGCUUAUACCGAGUCGAUGUUGGGAUACCACCCUUGUAUUGCUGAGAUUCUAACACGGAGGCUAACAACCUCGUGGACCAUCUCAGGUAGGCGGUUUGACUGGGGCGGUCGCCUCCGAAAGGGUAUCGGAGGCGCUCAAAGGUUCCCUCAGAAUGGUUGGAAACCAUUCGAAGAGUGCAAAGGCAGAAGGGAGCUUGACUGCGAGACAGACAAGUCGAGCAGAGACGAAAGUCGGGCUUAGUGAUCCGGUGGUACUGUGUGGAAAGGCCAUCGCUCAACGGAUAAAAGCUACCCUGGGGAUAACAGGCUAAUCUCUCCCAAGAGUUCAUAUCGACGGGGAGGUUUGGCACCUCGAUGUCGGCUCAUCACAUCCUGGAGCUGGAGUAGGUUCCAAGGGUUGGGCUGUUCGCCCAUUAAAGUGGUACGCGAGCUGGGUUCAAAACGUCGUGAGACAGUUUGGUUCAUAUCCAUCGCGGGCGCAAGAAGUUUGAGGGAGGCUGCUCCUAGUACGAGAGGACCGGAGUGGACGCAUCACUGGUGUUCGGGUUGUCAUGCCAAUGGCACUGCCCGGUAGCUAAAUGCGGAAGAGAUAAGUGCUGAAAGCAUCUAAGCACGAAACUUGCCCCGAGAUGAGUUCUCCCUGACUCCUUGAGAGUCCUGAAGGAACGUUGAAGACGACGACGUUGAUAGGCCGGGUGUGUAAGCGCAGCGAUGCGUUGAGCUAACCGGUACUAAUGAACCGUGAGGCUUAACCUU